rnacentral:rRNA from 1 species
UACAGAGGUCUCAAGCGUUGUUCGGAUUCAUUGGGCGUAAAGGGUGCGUAGGCGGCGCGGUAAGUCGGGUGUGAAAUCUUGGAGCUUAACUCCGAAACUGCAUUCGAUACUGCCGUGCUUGAGGACUGGAGAGGAGACUGGAAUUUACGGUGUAGCGGUGAAAUGCGUAGAUAUCGUAAGGAAGACCAGUGGCGAAGGCGGGUCUCGUGGACCGUUCCUGACGCUGAGGCACGAAGGCCAGGGAGCAAACGGG